CCUACGGGAGGCAGCAGUGGGGAAUUUUGGACAAUGGGCGAAAGCCUGAUCCAGCCAUUCCGCGUGCAGGAUGAAGGCCCUCGGGUUGUAAACUGCUUUUGUACAGAACGAAAAGGUUUCUACUAAUACUAGGAGCUCAUGACGGUACUGUAAGAAUAAGCACCGGCUAACUACGUGCCAGCAGCCGCGGUAAUACGUAGGGUGCAAUCGUUAAUCGGAAUUACUGGGCGUAAAGCGUGCGCAGGCGGUUAUAUAAGUCAGAUGUGAAAUCCCCGGGCUCAACCUGGGAACUGCAUUUGAGACUGUAUAGCUAGAGUACGGUAGAGGGGGAUGGAAUUCCGCGUGUAGCAGUGAAAUGCGUAGAUAUGCGGAGGAACACCGAUGGCGAAGGCAAUCCCCUGGACCUGUACUGACGCUCAUGCACGAAAGCGUGGGGAGCAAACAGGAUUAGAUACCCUGGUAGUCCACGCCCUAAACGAUGUCAACUGGUUGUUGGGUCUUAACUGACUCAGUAACGAAGCUAACGCGUGAAGUUGACCGCCUGGGGAGGUAACGGUCGCGAGUUAGUAAGUUACGAAGUAGUUAGUUAGNGNGNGAGAGCGACGAGACGACGAGGAGGAGGAGG
rnacentral:rRNA from 1 species